ACGGAACUUCUUUAAUUGACUUCUUCGGAAUGAUUUUGAUUAAGUUUAGUGGCGGACGGGUGAGUAACGCGUGAGUAACCUGCCUCUGAGAGGGGAAUAACAUUCUGAAAAGAAUGCUAAUACCGCAUAACAUAUACUUAUCGCAUGGUAGAUAUAUCAAAGAUUUAUCGCUUAGAGAUGGACUCGCGUCCGAUUAGUUAGUUGGUGAGGUAACGGCUCACCAAGACCGCGAUCGGUAGCCGGACUGAGAGGUUGAACGGCCACAUUGGGACUGAGACACGGCCCAGACUCCUACGGGAGGCAGCAGUGGGGGAUAUUGCGCAAUGGGGGAAACCCUGACGCAGCAACGCCGCGUGAAGGAUGAAGGUCUUCGGAUUGUAAACUUCUUUUAUUAAGGACGAAGAAAGUGACGGUACUUAAUGAAUAAGCUCCGGCUAACUACGUGCCAGCAGCCGCGGUAAUACGUAGGGAGCAAGCGUUGUCCGGAUUUACUGGGUGUAAAGGGUGCGUAGGCGGCUUUGCAAGUCAGAUGUGAAAUCUAUGGGCUCAACCCAUAGCCUGCAUUUGAAACUGCAGAGCUUGAGUGAAGUAGAGGCAGGCGGAAUUCCCCGUGUAGCGGUGAAAUGCGUAGAGAUGGGGAGGAACACCAGUGG
rnacentral:rRNA from 1 species